rnacentral:rRNA from 1 species
GAUGAACGCUGGCGGCGUGCCUAAUACAUGCAAGUCGAGCGAACGGACGAGAAGCUUGCUUCUCUGAUGUUAGCGGCGGACGGGUGAGUAACACGUGGAUAACCUACCUAUAAGACUGGGAUAACUUCGGGAAACCGGAGCUAAUACCGGAUAAUAUUUUGAACCGCAUGGUUCAAAAGUGAAAGACGGUCUUGCUGUCACUUAUAGAUGGAUCCGCGCUGCAUUAGCUAGUUGGUAAGGUAACGGCUUACCAAGGCAACGAUGCAUAGCCGACCUGAGAGGGUGAUCGGCCACACUGGAACUGAGACACGGUCCAGACUCCUACGGGAGGCAGCAGUAGGGAAUCUUCCGCAAUGGGCGAAAGCCUGACGGAGCAACGCCGCGUGAGUGAUGAAGGUCUUCGGAUCGUAAAACUCUGUUAUUAGGGAAGAACAUAUGUGUAAGUAACUGUGCACAUCUUGACGGUACCUAAUCAGAAAGCCACGGCUAACUACGUGCCAGCAGCCGCGGUAAUACGUAGGUGGCAAGCGUUAUCCGGAAUUAUUGGGCGUAAAGCGCGCGUAGGCGGUUUUUUAAGUCUGAUGUGAAAGCCCACGGCUCAACCGUGGAGGGUCAUUGGAAACUGGAAAACUUGAGUGCAGAAGAGAAAAGUGGAAUUCCAUGUGUAGCGGUGAAAUGCGCAGAGAUAUGGAGGAACACCAGUGGCGAAGGCGACUUUCUGGUCUGUAACUGACGCUGAUGUGCGAAAGCGUGGGGAUCAAACAGGAUUAGAUACCCUGGUAGUCCACGCCGUAAACGAUGAGUGCUAAGUGUUAGGGGGUUUCCGCCCCUUAGUGCUGCAGCUAACGCAUUAAGCACUCCGCCUGGGGAGUACGACCGCAAGGUUGAAACUCAAAGGAAUUGACGGGGACCCGCACAAGCGGUGGAGCAUGUGGUUUAAUUCGAAGCAACGCGAAGAACCUUACCAAAUCUUGACAUCCUUUGACAACUCUAGAGAUAGAGCCUUCCCCUUCGGGGGACAAAGUGACAGGUGGUGCAUGGUAGUCGUCAGCUCGUGUCGUGAGAUGUUGGGUUAAGUCCCGCAACGAGCGCAACCCUUAAGCUUAGUUGCCAUCAUUAAGUUGGGCACUCUAAGUUGACUGCCGGUGACAAACCGGAGGAAGGUGGGGAUGACGUCAAAUCAUCAUGCCCCUUAUGAUUUGGGCUACACACGUGCUACAAUGGACAAUACAAAGGGCAGCGAAACCGCGAGGUCAAGCAAAUCCCAUAAAGUUGUUCUCAGUUCGGAUUGUAGUCUGCAACUCGACUACAUGAGGCUGGAAUCGCUAGUAAUCGUAGAUCAGCAUGCUACGGUGAAUACGUUCCCGGGUCU